GGAUCUUGGUGCGCUAGACAGAAGGCCAGUAGUUAAAGUCACUUUGAGUCAUGGUAUGUAGAACAUCUUCAUUCCUACGACCUAUCAUCUACACAAGUUAGCCUGUCUGUCCAAUUGCAAUCUGAGCUCAACGACACUGUCACCCUUUCUGCAUACAACAUUGUUGGCCAGCUGCUGUUGACCCCAAGAGGUUCAUUCGAGUGAGACAGAGUUGAAAAUGUUAUGCAAUGGCAGCUGCAGCUCCUCAAGCAUGAUACUUUGCGUUGUUGAUGCUGACCAUACAAGGAAGAUAAACCUAAGUUCCAGCAUAUGUUGAUGACUUGAUAAACAUUUUGAAGGACAAGUUUGAGUUUGACGACGACCUCCGCUUGCUGUAUGAUGACCCUGACUUUGACUGACAACUUACCUGCUUGAUGGACAUUGAGGAGUUGCAACAAAAGGCACCACUGCACCUUAUAGUGGAAGGGGGAGAUACAAGUUCUACAGCUCUUGUUAUGAAACACCCCUGUCAGAAAGAGGCAGGAUCUGACACUGGGUGGAAUGGAUGGAAGAACAGCAUCAAAUUCAAGAUGGGUAACUACAGAACCAAGUUGAGGAGCGCAGGAUGCCAGGAGGUCUCCGUAAACACAGGAAAAAGAAGAAGAAGCAAUUCAGAGAAUGAACCACCGCACUCAAACAUAAAGCUGGCUGAAGUUAACUUUCUGCCACACUCCCCCCUUGGACAGGACGUGGGGAGUCUUGAAACGCUGAAGCAGGAAAUGGUCCAAGAACUUCAGAAGAUGGAAAGGAACUUACCCCUGAUCGAUAGGAAGAUGCAGACCACAUUCGCCCUGCGGCGCCAGGGUAUAGUCACCGACACUCCAACUGUAAAGGAGUUCCUUGAUCUCUGGCCUGCUCUGCGCACGGAGACGCAGAUAAAACUGCAAUGCUGUUUUUACACAAA